CGCCUCUUGACCAAAUAUAAGAGGUCCAGCCUGCCCAGUGACUCUGUUUAACGGCCGCGGUAUCCUAACCGUGCGAAGGUAGCGUAAUCACUUGUUCUUUAAAUGAGGACUAGUAUGAAUGGCAUCACGAAGGUUAUACUGUCUCCUUUUUCUAAUCAGUGAAACUAAUCUCCCCGUGAAGAAGCGGGGAUAAUAAUAUAAGACGAGAAGACCCUAUGGAGCUUUAAACUAAGUAACACUAGCUUUUAAAAAUCUCUACUCCAGAGUAUAUAACAAUAAAUUUAGCUUGCUGAUUACUAGUUUUAGGUUGGGGUGACCGCGGAGCAUAAAACAACCUCCGCAUUGAACGGGGGCUCCCCUGAGCCAUGAGCUACAACUCUACGCACCAACAUAUUGACAUCCAUUGACCCAAUAUAUUGAUCAACGAACCAAGUUACCCUAGGGAUAACAGCGCAAUCCGCUUCAAGAGCUCCUAUCGACAAGCGGGUUUACGACCUCGAUGUUGGAUCAGGGUAUCCCAGUGGUGCAGCCGCUACUAAAGGUU
rnacentral:rRNA from 1 species